UUAGAAAACACUGAUCGUGAGUUUUACAGACCUCAAAUGUCACUAGUCAUUCAGACUCGUGCUAUUUUGGUGCUCUCUGGAAAAAUUACUCGUGCGUGUUUUAUCCAAAUUGCACUCGAAAUCAUCAUAUUACCUAUUGAAAAAUAACAUUAGUUUGAACUAUAAACGCAGAGACAAACCAGACGCCAUGCAUUCGACGACGUGGCCCAAUUUUCCGAUAACUUUGAUCCUGGUUUAAGUUUUUCAAAUUUUUAGAAGGGCUAUAACAUUUUGAGUUUUUGGUCUGCCGAUUCAGCCAUAAUCGUCACAGGUCCGACUGUCAUAAGUAAUCGCACACAUGAGAUUAUUAGGGACGGACCAUUAGAAAAGUGAUGGGGGGGGGGGGGCAAAACCAAAAAAAAAAUUAUUCCCAGGAAAAAAUUAUGGGAAGAAAAUCUUUCCAGGUAUAGUGCAAAAAAAAAUUCCUUGCUUGGAAGAUAGGCCUAUAAAUUUAACUUAAAAAAAAUAUUUCCAGCUAUCAAGUGAGAAAAAGAAAAUUGUUCUAUAGGUGUACAGAAAAAAAUAUAUAGCCUGUUGGAAAAUCUCCCCCCCCCCUCAUCACUUUUUUAAUGGUCCGUCCCUUACUUGUGUAGAUUAGUGGCGGAGUAUAAUGUUCAUCUGAACUAAUUGUCCAAUUAAAACACAUCACGUGUGCCACAUGACGUUGUGAUUUUUAUCCAGUUCUAUGAUUACGUAAAGCUACGUUUACACGCUGCAAUUAAUUGUGUAUACGAUUCGUUUUCUGGCCGCGUAUGUCAUUGAGUAAACACGAGUGAGCUGACUACAUUUGAAAUUUCUUUUCAACGAAACAGCAAUGAAUUAUGGCGCCAGCACUCAUUUUAAUACGCCAGAAUACAAAUCGUACGCGAUUAAUUUCAGAC